GAUGAACGCUGGCGGCGUGCCUAAUACAUGCAAGUCGAGCGAACGGACGAGAAGCUUGCUUCUCUGAUGUUAGCGGCGGACGGGUGAGUAACACGUGGAUAACCUACCUAUAAGACUGGGAUAACUUCGGGAAACCGGAGCUAAUACCGGAUAAUAUUUUGAACCGCAUGGUUCAAAAGUGAAAGACGGUCUUGCUGUCACUUAUAGAUGGAUCCGCGCUGCAUUAGCUAGUUGGUAAGGUAACGGCUUACCACGGCAACGAUGCAUAGCCGACCUGAGAGGGUGGUCGGCCGCACUGGAAGUGGGACGCGGUCGAGAGUCCUACGGGAGGCAGCAGUAGGGAAUGUUCGGCAAUGGGCGAGAGCGUGACGGAGCAACGCCGCGUGAGUGAUGAAGGUCUUCGGAUCGUAAAACUCUGUUAUUAGGGAAGAACAUAUGUGUAAGUAACUGUGCACAUCUUGACGGUACCGAAUCAGAAAGCCACGGCUAACUACGUG
rnacentral:rRNA from 1 species